AUUGAACGCUGGCGGCAGGCCUAACACAUGCAAGUCGAACGAGUGGCGGACGGGUGAGUAUUGUCUGUGAAACUGCCCGCUGGAGGGGGAUAACUACUGUAAACGGUAGCUAAUACCGCAUACCAUCGGAUGUGCCCAGAUGGGAUUAGCUAGUAGGUGGGGUAACGGCUCACCAAGGGGACGAUCCCUAGCGGGUCUGAGAGGAUGAUCAGCAAGACUGGAACUGAGACACGGGCCAGAAUCCGACGGGAGGGAGCAGUGGGGAAGAUUGCACAAUGGGCGCAAGCCUGAUGCAGCCAUGCCGCGUGGAUGAAGAAGGCCUUCGGGUUGGAAAGGACUUUCAGCGGGGAGGCGUUACCCGCAGAAGAAGCACCGGCUAACUCCGUGCCAGCAGCCGCGGUAAUAC
rnacentral:rRNA from 1 species